GGAAGGCCCUUCGGGGUACUCGAGCGGCGAACGGGUGAGUAACACGUGAGUAAUCUGCCCUUGGCUUCGGGAUAGCCACCGGAAACGGUGAUUAAUACCGGAUAUGACCAGCUGUCGCAUGGUGGUUGGUGGAAAGUUUUUCGGCCAGGGAUGUGCUCGCGGCCUAUCAGCUUGAUGGUGAGGUAAUGGCUCACCAUGGCUUCGACGGGUAGCCGGCCUGAGAGGGUGACCGGUCACACUGGGACUGAGACACGGCCCAGACUCCUACGGGAGGCAGCAGUGGGGAAUAUUGGACAAUGGGCGGAAGCCUGAUCCAGCAACGCCGCGUGAGGGAUGACGGCCUUCGGGUUGUAAACCUCUUUCAGUACCGACGAAGCGCAAGUGACGGUAGGUACAGAAGAAGCACCGGCCAACUACGUGCCAGCAGCCGCGGUAAUACGUAGGGUGCGAGCGUUGUCCGGAAUUAUUGGGCGUAAAGGGCUCGUAGGCGGUCUGUCGCGUCGGGAGUGAAAACGCCGUGCUUAACACGGCGCUUGCUUUCGAUACGGGCAGACUAGAGGCAUGCAGGGGAGAACGGAAUUCCUGGUGUAGCGGUGAAAUGCGCAGAUAUCAGGAGGAACACCGGUGGCGAAGGCGGUUCUCUGGGCAUGUCCUGACGCUGAGGAGCGAAAGUGUGGGGAGCGAACAGGAUUAGAUACCCUGGUAGUCCACACCGUAAACGUUGGGCGCUAGGUGUGGGAUCCAUUCCACGGGUUCCGUGCCGCAGCUAACGCAUUAAGCGCCCCGCCUGGGGAGUAC
rnacentral:rRNA from 1 species